GCUAAGUCCGGAGGCGGGAAGCAGAAGAAGAAGAAGUGGAGCAAGGGUAAGCAGAAGGAGAAGGUCAACAACGCGGUGCUCUUCGACCAGGCCACCUACGACAAGUUGCUCUCCGAGGUUCCCAAGUACAAGCAGAUCACCCCGUCCGUGCUCUCCGAGCGUCUCAGGGUAAUGUACAUCGCCUUCACGGCUUCACAUGGAUGGAACUUGUAUCGAUUCCUGCUGUGUACCUUACUGCCUUCCUGACGAUAGGACCUCAACAUUGUAGUUGUGGCCUGUUUGUUAAGCAUCUGGUGAAUGAACUCGGCAUGAUUCCCCAAAUGAUAUUGUAGUUUCCUGUAGAAUUAGCGCGUCAAUUUCUUUCUCUUAUGUUUUACGUAGAUGGGUUUAGAUUUGCAUCAAACAGGUCUCUAGUCCGUAUGUUUUGCAUAGAUAGAUUUUCUGUGUCGCUCAAAACAAUUCGUCGUGCUUAAUUUGACGAGGGCUGUAGACCUUGUUCAGCUGUUUGGAUACGAUUGUAGGAAAGCAGCUUACUUGUUUGUGGCCUGUCAGGUAGCCUUUGCUUAUCCUUUCUUCCUUUCAAUUUAUGUGGCUAAUUGCAUUGGUUAGAUUGUUUAUAAACUGUUUUGCGACCAGUGCAGUCACUUGGGAUAUAAGAUCAGUUUGGAGUGUCCAAUAUAUCUGUAUUCUUUGUAAGGCUUGAUGAUUUUAUACAAAAUCACAUUUCGUGUUUGUUAUUACUUCACUAGCUUAUAGAGUUGCAGACGAAUGAUUCAUUCACAUGUCUGUACUUACCAUUUGUAAUGUAAAAACUAAAACCUCAUUUCCAGUCCUGGUACACGGAUGUUCACUGUAGUCUCUUAUGUGGUUGAGUGCAAUACAACCUUUUACCACUAAUCACAUUCUUAGGAUUGUAUGCAGAAGUUACUGUUCUCCACACUAGAAGGGUUCCAUUCCUCAGAGCUAUUUCCUUUGUGUUUGCAAAUUUCGCAGUUGAGUUUGCAUUUGGUGCAUUAUCUAGUAUUUGUUUCUCCUACUUGUUGCUUGCUAUUUGUUGAACUACCUGCUUAGCAUCUUGUGCUGUAUAUUCAAUUUAUCUCAUUAAAUCAGCUUAUGACUAAAGCAAAGUUUUUUCUCAUUUUGUUCCACAGAUCAAUGGAUCCUUGGCACGGAGGGCCAUUAAGGAUCUGAUGGCAAGGGGGCUCAUAAGGAUGAUCGCUGUUCAUUCCAGCCAGCAGAUAUACACCAGGGCAACCAACACAUGAGGGAUGUUUUGCAUCUUGUCGAUGUUAUCUAGUCUAGACGACUUGGUGUUGCUAUUAUAUAUCAAGUUUAUUUCAAUCAUGGCUCAGUCAAUCUUACUGUCAUGUUGAAUAUGUUUAAAAUUAUUGUGCUAUUUUAAGCUCAUGUUGCCAUCCAAAAUUUAUCUUGAUGAGGAACAUAAAUCUAUCUCUGCUCUCCUGUUUGACAUGGUGCCAUCCAAGCUGUUGGAUAUGUUGUCAUGAGUUCAGAGUUGUUUGACAAAGCACUUGCAGUGUUACCCGUAGCAAAUUUUGGGUCAUGCCUUGACAAAGCACUUGCAGUGUUACCCGUAGCAAAUUUUUUGUCAUGCCUAUGCCUAUCAUGGAUGUAAUUUCCUUUGCCAUUUGUGUUAAAGGCUUGGAAAUGCUAAUCCAGGUAUGUGCUAGUUUACGGUAGAUUGGUAUAUCGGCAGAAUGGGAAUGGCGCUUGUGCCAGUCCAAGUAUCGGGGAGAUGCAUCGCAUCUGUAUGGACUUGCUUUCAAAUUAGUAUAUCUAGAUGCAAUAACAAACGUUACAUUGAGUUGUAUUGCAUCUUGUACUUUGUUCCAAAUUAUAAGUUGUUGCUAUGUAUCUAAAUAUAUUGUAUAUCAAGAUAUCUAGAUGUAUAGCAAAAAUUAUGUUAUAUGGAUAUAUAGCAAAAUUAUGUUGCUUUGAAAAACCAUAACUAUUUAAAAUUUUAGAACUAAGGGAUAAUGUUAACAUGUGUGAAGGACAUAUGUUAUAUGACUUAUUUUUUUUUAAAAAAAUACUAAAUGUAGCUAAUUGAAUAUUAGCACUGACCUAAGAAAUUUGCUGAAUGUUUUUAGAUUACACCAUUAAUUAAGGUCAUGUUGGUAUGUGCCUGCUAUGAGACCUAUCUAACUUAAAAGGAGAUGAAAGUCUAAUAUAUACUCUCUCCGUUCUUCAAAGAAUUCAAAGAAUGCAAUUAUGAGAUACGUGCCAGUGUUGACCCAAAUUUAACUAAAUUUAUAAUAAGUAAUAUUAGUAUUUAUGUUUCUAAAUAAAUUUAGAAUAAAGUUUGAUCAAAUUUAUAGUAAAUAGUAUUAAUAUUAUGUGUCUAAAUAAAUUUAGUAUGAAAAUAUAUUCUAUAAUUAAUCUAAUGAUACUCUUCUAUGUCACUAAAAGCUUCAACUCGAGUUGUCCAAAGUCAAACUUUUAAAAUUUUAAUCGAAUUUCUUAAAAAAAACACACUAAGAUUUAUAGUAAAAAUAAACACCAUUAGAUUUAUUAUAAAAUAUAUUUUUAUAAAACAUUUAUUUUAUGUCAUAGAUAUUGAUGCUCUUUUUUAUAAAAUUGGUCAAACUUAAAAACAUUUGACUGAUAUGGAUUCUAGGAGUUGAAAGGAUAGAGCGAGUACUUUUUUAUCAUUAAUGUUAGUAUAUUUUAAUAUAAAUUUUGUUAAAGUCUUAAACUAUUUGACUUCUCAAAAAGCGACUUUUUUUUGGACGGAGAGAGUACGUUGAAAUGGAGUGAAGUCUUAGACUAUACUUGUGCAAAAUUAAUAGUCUAUUUUCACUUGUAAGGUCAUACUCAGUGAAAGUUUUAUGAUUCAGUUUUCAAUAUAUUUAUAUUUUAAAAACAGUGUAGAAGAGUUUUAUCCCUAUAAAACUCUUACUCCUAUAAAACUAUUAUGAUCUCUCUCUUUAUUAAUUAAUAUGAAUGAAACUCUAUUGAGAUUGGUCUAAUGCUAUGAAGUUAUCAAUCUACCGAGCUAUUCAUCGACUAUCUAAAAAUGCUUGCUUUGGUAGGGAUUGGAGGAGAUUGAAGGCAGUUGAGUGGUAUUAAAUCUCUUACAAGUCCAAUCAAGAGGAUACUAUCCAAUCCUCUUGGGAAGGGAAUUAAUUGAACGAGGUCUUAUAAAAGUAAAGGAGAUGAGGUGAGUGUUUUUAGAAAACAUGCAUGGAUGCUCUUGGUUGGGGUUGGGUGGGUUGGGUUGGAUCCAACCCAGUUUUUGGAGACGGAGCCAACCCAAAAGAGUGUUUGGUUGUAUUUGGAUUUAGGGACAUACCCAAGUGUUUGGUUGAAGGAUUGGGGACGGAGCGGCUCCGUUCAGUGUUUGGUUGAAGGAAUUCAGUGUUUGGUGAACAUCGACCCGGUUGGAGCGGCUCCGUCCGCCAGAUUUUGACGGACGAGUCCAACCCGCAUCUGAGAGGAAUAUUCCACUCUGGAGCCAACCCAACCCUUCCAUCCUCCAACCAAACAGCCACGGGAAUGGGUUCGCUCCGACCCGGCUCGCCCCGCUCUCCAACCAAACACACGGUUAGAGUUCCUGAUCAAUUGAAUAAUACUUUCUCCAUCUUGGAAUUAUAGGUGUAUUUUAGAUAUGGAGGGGAAAAACAAAUUUUACAGAUUUCGAUCAAUAACCAGUCAAUUUAUGAAAGUUUAGGUCAUAAAUUUUGGGUUAGCAAGACAUCUCUCAAUGCUUUAAGAACUGAAAUGUAUUGUAAGAGAAUUUGAAAUCUAACAUUAGUCAAAAUAUGCUUAUCACUUACCAGUUAUAUGGACGGAGGAAGCAGCUCUUUUGGACCGAAUUUAGAAAGACAAAAUCUCAAGGAUUUAUAGAGGAGUGUAAAUGUUCAGUAACUAUACUCCGUUCGUGGAUGGCAUCGGCCUCGACCAUGUAGUCGAAGUUCUCUAGGUUAGUCUUGACAGCUAUCUCUACAAAGUAGUGGAUGCAUUUGAAGUAGAAGCGGAAGAACUUGACGGCGCCGAUGUGCCUCUCGCCCUCGGUGAGGUCCUCCUUAAACGCGACGAACAUGAUGCCCUUGUCAAGAUGGAGACCUCAGGCGGCGUUGCAGCGGAGGCACAUCGACACCCUCAGUCAUGCGGGCCGGUCCCUUAGCUUGGUCAACACCAUGUUGACGUGAGGGGUUGCGGCGUCAGAAACAGAUGAGCGAGGUGGCGUCAGCAUUCGAUUGAAUCUUCUUUUAGAAACUCAUCUUUCUCGCCAUACUUAGGGUGUUUGGUCGGGGUAUUAAAGUUUAACCGGUACUAUAGUAUUUUCGUCUUAUUUAGUAAUUAGCGUCCAAUCAUGGACUAAGUAGGCUCAAAAAAUUCGUCUCGCAAAUUACUCUCUAGCUGUGUUUUUAGUUUCGUAAAUAAUUUAUAUUUACUAUUUCAUGUAUGUGUCCAAACAUUCGAUUUAACGGGAGUUAAACUUUACUAGCGCCAACCAAACAUGUCUUUAUAGGGGGACAAUUCUUGAACAGCCCCAGCUUCCCUUGCCUUCCUACAGUUGUCCUACACUACUACUACUACGGAUGCCUUCCUCCAUAAGUUGCACAGGCGUUAAAGCACCAAGGAACACUCCUGCUGAUCAGCAUCCCAAGCCGCAAAAACGUUUCCACAUGGGCGACGACGAGGAGGCCAGGGAAGGGGAGAUCUGCUGGCGGUGCGUCGGGGAGCCCCAUGUCUUAUCGGGAUGGGCUUCUCGUUUCUCCACUCCGAUCCCUGUCGUUGAGAGUUGAGACCUUGCUAGAUCAAACUACGACUUGCGUUGGUGAAGCAUGGUCGCGUGGAAAUGAUAACAAGAUCAUGGCUCUGCGCUCUGAAGGUUGAGCAACAUUUACUUUCUGAUCAGCACAAGCUUCCCACGGUAAACUGCUGCUGCAGAGAGAACUUGGUAGCAGAGACAGAUGUCAUUCAUCAAAUUUGAUUUUUGAUACUCUGGUUGAUUCCUAUUCCGUGGACUCGGGCCAUACACACAGAUCCUCAGGUUGCUUACUUUCACAUUACUAGCUUUCAGUCCAAACUUCAAAGGUGCACAUACAGUUUACCUUUUUUUCUUCUGUUACACAAGUAAACGCGGGUGAAAAGAUUAGGCAUACUGUACAUUUGUGUGAUUAUGAUCUUCCUUAUUCGAGCAAGUCUCACAUAAGUUACCUAUACAUUCCAUACGUGCAUCUCAAAGACAAGCAGUACAUACCCACAGUACUAAUAUAUCAUAGUAGUAUUAUGUACAGCUGAAGCAAUAGCUACAAGGCAGCGUGGAUAAAAAGCACACCGCAUAUCUGGUUAACACUAGCAAACUUUAGUCCUAUUGUAAUCUGGAGGCAGGGACGGACAUUUUUCGUUCAUGUGGGCAUAGGGUUAAGGCAGCUCCAUUCAGUACAUGCCCUUGAUUUGGCAAAAGGAGAGCUUCACAUCGUCAUCCUUGUUGCACCACUCCGGAAGUCGGUGGAGUUGUCCUAAAAAAGUUGGGGGUGUAAGCAUCUUUUAUCUGCAAAAUAUGGCCAUAUGGGAGAAAUAGAUUUGAGAAUAAGACUCUGCCAAAUAGCUUUUGUAUAAGCCUCUAUUGUCAGAAACUCAAAUGUACAAGACUUGCAGGCAAGCCUUCCCAAUCCACCCUCUUUUCUCCCUAAAAAAAUGGUAGGCCAGCGUUCCACUGUGCACUAGAUAAUGAGAUAGAUGCAUGCACUCACGAAACAUGUCCCCAUUUUUGUCUUAUCAGUCGUACUUUUUCUGCCAGCCAGCAGUGUCUUUCUCUCACAGCAAAUCAGCUAACACUAAUUUCAGUCAUGGCUUUUCAGACCGGCGAACCAGCGAACACUAAUUUCAACCAUGACUUUUGAACUGACAAAGGAACCUAUAUAAGGACAUAGACUCGAACACAAGGAUUCAAGAGCGCUUACUGUGAAUUCGGUAACUUCAACAGAGCUGGAAAUAGGGUCAAAGAGUCCAGCCUCCUUGUACAUCAUAAGGACGGUUAGUAACUUGUCAAAUGUUAUCCCACGUUUAUCUGAUUCUACUAUGAUUUCAGCAAGGUCAAGACCCUGAAAAUAAAACAAAAGAAAAUAACCAUAGAGGGCAAUAAAAUGAAAUUGUUGAAUCCAAGAUUUCUGUAUACAUGAAUAAUUAACACAGUAUAAAAGUGUCAAUAGGCCUCAAAGAGUGAAACUACAAAAUAGUUAUAUCAGAAGAUAUUAAGCAAUAAGUGAUAACAAUCGUAUACAUACAAGAAGAAAUCUAGAUACAACUUGAGUACUUGACCCCAUAGUCUGAACACAAAUGUCUUGCACAUAAUGGCAUUUGCAUUUCUACCUAUAAGCCCCUUAUGCGCACACAAGCAGGCCACAUGAGCAUAGUUGAAAAAGUUAAAAUUUUCAGUACAAAAUAAUAUGCUUGCAGGUGAGCUGGUAGCUUGGUAUAGAAGGUUGGAUCUUGUAAAAAAAAUAGAUUAGCUAUAGGAUAACUUUCCCACGUGGAUGUAAUUUACAAGAAAUCUAAUAGCCUUACAUUUUCAGAUCAAAAAACAGUAUAUGAAGAUGGAUUGAAUUAACUACUAUCUAAUACAGAUAAGCACCAUAGAGAAGCCACACUUCAUUAGACAUCAUAUCAGAAGUCAUAGAUAUCAAUGGGUGAUGGAUGAUAUCUAGUUGCCCACUUUAAUCAUAGAUAUAGCUAUUGUUUGCUUGAUUAGUGUUUAGAAAGAAAUUGACAUUGUUUAUACUACAGAGCAUCUAUUGUGGCAAAUAUAAUAUAGACGACCGUUAGCCGAAGACUCUGAUGGAAAAUUGGACUCCAAGAAAAGUGAGUAAAAGAAAUGAGAGUUGAUGCCUUUAGCCAUUUAAUCAAACAACAUACCCUUGCAAUUGAAAUAUUUGAAGAGGCAGUAAAGGAACUUCCUUAUGCACUCCCUUAUAAAUACGUAGUUUUUAACAUGACAGAGAAUGUAAGUUCAAGCUACGAUGAUUUUGUCUACCAAGUUUAUCUUAAGGUAAGGUAACACAUACUUUGCAUGUUUACUUUUUCCAAGUCAAAUCUGAUAUUUCAGAGAUAAUAUGUCAGGCCAUAUUUUUUUGUCAUAGGUUACGAAAAUGAUAGCUCUAGCAGGAUUUUUUUUGUCACAUGUUUGGACAGGAUCUUAGAACAAAUUGUAUAGAAUGCAUCUUAAAUUAUUCCAUCUAUACAGAAGCAUGAAAAGUGUAAGACAUUUAAAGAAAUUUAGUUAAAUACACUUGGAUAAUUGUCUUAGGUAGCGUUCAACAUGUCAAGGAUAUGAGGUAAUAUCACAGAAAACACGUCUCACCUAUCCUCAUCUCCCUCAAACAUAUAUUGCUCCACAGCAAUGAAGAGCAACAUACCCUCAUGGAGUGACGGUGGAUUAGCUCGAUGGAGCGAUGACUAAUAUCAACUUAAUUACCUGCAAUUUUAAUAAACCAACUUUGGAACAAGUUUGUACAGCUUUCUAAGUAAAACCAAAAUAUGCCAAGCUUAUAUUAGACAAUUAUCUAAAUCGUAAACUGCAACAAAGACAUUCUGCAACAUUGGUAGACACUAUUCCACAGUUGCAGCAAGAUUAGUCUGUUUCAGAUAUCCACAGAUUAACCAUUCAUGAUACACGCACAUGCAUCACAGCGAGUAUGUCAGAGGACUGGCUAGAAGCGGUACUGCAUAUUGCCCCCCCCCCCUCCCCCCCCCCCCCCCCCCCCCCCCCCCAAAAAAAACACACACACACACACACACAGAGUGAGCAAUAUUGCCCAGACAAGCAUUGAUUCAUGGCAUAUACAUGGGAGGCAAGGAUGUGCUAUUUACCUCGUCAAACACCUGAGUGUGAGCUAUCGUUGUCAACCUUCAGUCCAGCGUGGGAGGUGGCGGCUGGUGCUGCCGAGGCAGUGGACGCAGGUGCAGGUGGACGGGAUGCCGUUGCCGCAGUUCCCUUUGGCUUGGUUGUGGGGCUGCUGCUGAGCGGAGGUUCAGAUGGGAGGACCGAGGACCCCAUCGUCGUGGCUGCGCAGAGGCUCGUGAACACUAGCUUUCGUCGAGGGUGGGGCCGACGGUGAGGGCGAAGGGCGUGGCUGCAGCGGCCGUGUUGGGGCGGGCGUGGCGGUGCCGGCGACGCGGCGUUCGCGCGGGGCGGAGAGGGGCAGGGCGGGGGCGACCGUGGCGCGGCUUUGGGUCGUGGGAGGGAGCGAGGCGUUGCAGGGGAGGGCGGAGGGGCGCGGGAGGAAGGUGUUAGGUUGAUCUCAGACCCAGCCCAACGGCUGGGGCCUUUUUCCCUUGGAAUCGCGCUCUGAUCGGGGACGCCCAACCGAUCUAUGGUUGGUGGGCUCCUGACGUGCUGCGCUAUAAAUACAGGAGUGGAGGCCGCAGGCACACUAACCUAAGUUUGCCGUGCACACAACCCCACUCGAAAAACCCUAGGUCAUCCGAUCGGCUCGCGCAGUGGCGUCGGGAAGCACCACCGCGCCGCCUCCGUUCUACUCUUUCCCCACCGUCAUCGGGCAGUGCCGCUGGAGGCCCGAAGGCCGCCGUGAUCUACAUCGCCACAACCUCGACACCCUCGCCAUGGACGCCACCGGAUCUGCUUCCGCCACUUACGGUCGAAACCCUAUACUCUAGAUCUACAUGUUUCUACUCCCUUGUAAUAGAUCUAGUGUACAUAUAUAUUUAUGUUAGUGUCCAUGUCACUUUUGUAUCUCGAAUCCCUGUUGUUUCUAUUGCUAGUAGAUCCUGUAGAUCUAUCAGAAGGACGCCACUGAUGAUUGGGGAGGGCGGCAUGCCACGCGGGUUCGUCGGGUGGCGCUGGAGGCGAGGUUGGGCGGCGCGAUGACUGCGGCACAUCGAAUAUUGCUUCCUAUGCAUGAAGCACUAAAUAUAGACAAAAAUAAAAACAAAUCACACAGUAAAUCGCGAGACGAAUCUUUUAACUUUAGUUAGUCUAUGAUUAGAUAAUAUUUACCAUAAACAAACGAAAGUGCUACAGUGGCGAAAUUCAAAAAAAUUUCACAUCUGGGAGACGUUGUUUCAUCGUGCUCGGGGCAAAAGCUCGGAAACGCUAGAACGUGGUUGUGGCUAAAGUGUCCGAUGAAGAUCUAUCGGCUGAUAUUUUUUUAUAUGUAAAAUUUUUAGCAAAAAGAUGACUCUAUUUUCUUUGGAUUAAAAAACUUUAAAAACCUAAGAGACUUUAAUAAAAACAAUGAAUUCUACAUUUUAGAUAAAACUAAAUAUAAUAUUUAUUUUAGUAUUUUCUAUUUUAUCAUUCUAAAAUAGUUUGCGUUUUGUAUUUUGUAUUAUAUGGAAACUAAACACACCCUAAUAAUAAAAAGUUGCGUUUCGCGUGCUGCAGUGGUUUGCAUAAACAAGUGUAUAUGCAUCCCCGAAAAUGCAGUUCCAGCCCUCCGAUCGGAUCAGACGGCGGAGAGCACGCAUCACCAGCUCAAAACCCUACAGCUAAAAUAUACCUGCUGCUCGCCUUGACACGCAUCGCAUAUUCGCCGCCGCCGCGCCCUCCCCUCCGUCGCUCGCCUCACGCCUCCGCCAUGGUGCGUCUCUCCUCUCCUCUCCUCUCCACGCACCCGCGGCCCGACCGUCUGUUGCUGACUGUUUUGGUUGUUCUCUCAGGCCCCGAAGAAGGAGAAGGCCCCGCCGCCGUCGUCCAAGCCGGCCAAGUCCGGAGGCGGGAAGCAGAAGAAGAAGAAGUGGAGCAAGGGUAAGCAGAAGGAGAAGGUCAACAACUCGGUGCUCUUCGACCAGGCCACCUACGACAAGUUGGUCUCCGAGGUGCCCAAGUACAAGCAGAUCACCCCAUCCGUCCUCUCCGAGCGUCUCAGGGUAAUGUUACAUCGUAUUCACAGCUUCACAUGGAUGGAAUUCCUGCUUUCUACCUUACUGCCUUCCUGACGAUAGAGCCUGUAUGUUUAGCAUGU
rnacentral:lncRNA from 1 species